AUUGAACGCUGGCGGCAGGCCUAACACAUGCAAGUCGAGCGAGCGGCGGACGGGUGAGUAAUGUAUGGGGACUUCCCGAUAGAGGGGGAUAACUACUGGAAACGGUGGCUAAUACCGCAUACUAUCGGAUAACCCAUAUGGGAUUCGCUAGUUGGUGGGGUAAUGGCUCACCAAGGCGACGAUCCCUAGCUGGUCUGAGAGGAUGAGCAGCAACAAUGGAACUGAGACACGGCCCAGACUCCUACGGAGGCAGCAGUGGGGAAUAUUGCACAAUGGGCGCAAGCCUGAUACAGCCAUGCCGCGUGUAUGAAGAAGGCCCUAGGGUUGUAAAGUACUUUCAGUCGGGAGGCGUUACCGACAGAAGAAGCACCGGCUAACUCCGUGCCAGCCGCCGCGGUAAUAC
rnacentral:rRNA from 1 species